AUUGAACGCUGGCGGCAUGCCUUACACAUGCAAGUCGAACGGCAGCACGGGGCAACCUGGUGGCGAGUGGCGAACGGGUGAGUAAUGCAUCGGAACGUGCCAUUGAGUGGGGGAUAACGUAGCGAAAGUUGCGCUAAUACCGCAUAUUCUGUGAGCAGGAAAGCAGGGGGACCGCAAGGCCUUGCGCUCUUUGAGCGGCCGAUGUCAGAUUAGCUAGUUGGUGAGGUAACGGCUUACCAAGGCGACGAUCUGUAGCGGGUCUGAGAGGAUGAUCCGCCACACUGGAACUGAGACACGGUCCAGACUCCUACGGGAGGCAGCAGUGGGGAAUUUUGGACAAUGGGGGCAACCCUGAUCCAGCCAUGCCGCGUGAGUGAAGAAGGCCUCGG
rnacentral:rRNA from 1 species